rnacentral:rRNA from 1 species
GUAGGGAAUAUUGCGCAAUGGGGGAAACCCUGACGCAGCGACGCCGCGUGAGUGAUGAAGGCCUUCGGGUCGUAAAGCUCUGUUGCAGGGGAAUAAAAAAAUGAAGGUACCCUGUGAGGAAGGAUCGGCUAACUUCGUGCCAGCAGCCGCGGUAAGCCGAGGGAUCCUAGCGUUGCUCGGAAUCAUUGGGCGUAAAGAGGGCGUAGGUGGCGUGGUAAGUCAGGUGUGAAAGCCCAGGGCUCAACCCUGGAAGUGCAUUUGAUACUGCUGAGCUUGAGUGUCGGAGAGGUUACCGGAAUACCUGGUGUAGUGGUGAAAUACGUAGAUAUCAGGUGGAACACCGGAGGCGAAGGCGGGUAACUGGACGAACACUGACACUGAGGCCCGAAAGCGUGGGGAUCAAACAGGAUUAGAAACCCGUGUAGUCC